GCGGAGGAAAAGAAACCAACAGGGAUUGCCUUAGUAGCGGCGAGUGAAGCGGCAAAAGCUCAAAUUUGAAAUCUGGCACUUUCAGUGUCCGAGUUGUAAUUUGAAGAAGGUAUCUUUGGGUCUGGCUCUUGUCUAUGUUUCUUGGAACAGAACGUCACAGAGGGUGAGAAUCCCGUGCGAUGAGAUGUCCCAGACCUAUGUAAAGUUCCUUCGAAGAGUCGAGUUGUUUGGGAAUGCAGCUCUAAGUGGGUGGUAAAUUCCAUCUAAAGCUAAAUAUUGGCGAGAGACCGAUAGCGAACAAGUACAGUGAUGGAAAGAUGAAAAGAACUUUGAAAAGAGAGUGAAAAAGUACGUGAAAUUGUUGAAAGGGAAGGGCUUGAGAUCAGACUUGGUAUUUUGUAUGUUACUCUCUCGGGGGUGGCCUCUACAGUUUACCGGGCCAGCAUCAGUUUGGGCGGUAGGACAAUUGCAAAGAAAUGUGGCACUGCCUCGGUAGUGUGUUAUAGUCUUUGUCGAUACUGCCAGCCUAGACUGAGGACUGCGGCUUCGGCCUAGGAUGUUGGCAUAAUGAUCUUAAGUCGCCCGUCUUG
rnacentral:rRNA from 1 species